rnacentral:misc_RNA from 1 species
CCUGGGGUCUGCUCAUCUUGAUUAUUUACAAAAACACUAGAUCUAUGGAUUAGAAUAGCGCAAACGCGAAAUUAAACAAAAGCCCUCAUCGAUCGGCACAAAUUUACAGAAAUAGACAACAAAAAAUGAACCGUAGAUGCUUCUUCUAGGGAAGAAAUAAUAAUCUUAGAUCUACACAAAACCAAUUAAAAAAAAAAAUCCAAAAG